rnacentral:rRNA from 1 species
UACGUAGGGGGCAAGCGUUGUCCGGAAUCAUUGGGCGUAAAGCGCGUGUAGGCGGCUUGAUAAGUCUGCUCUGAAAGCCCGGGGCUCAACCCCGGGAGGCGGGUGGAUACUGUCAAGCUCGGGUCCGGAAGAGGCGGGUGGAAUUCCUGGUGUAGCGGUGAAAUGCGCAGAUAUCAGGAGGAACACCAAUGGCGAAGGCAGCCCGCUGGGACGUGACUGACGCUGAGACGCGAAAGCGUGGGGAGCAAACAGG